CUGUAAAAUUGUGUACAAUUUUAAUGAAAAUGCCAGAAAAAUUUCAUUUGUGACAUAGAAGCUGUGAUUAAAAAUGAUAAAAUAAAUCUUUGAUGUUAUAGCAAUAUCUGUAAAAGUGGCAACCCUGGCGUGAAGGUUAUGAAAUGUAAAUAUAAACAAACGUCAAAAACAUUCGCAGCAUAAAAUAAUUUUCUUUCGUCGGCCUUGUUAGUUGAACUGCGUCUAGAGAAUGGACUCUUCUCGUCGUAGCCAUUUACUGCGGGAAAAACAGUCAGUUCAACUUAUAUUCUGAACUCGAAUGGCGAUUUCAGAAUGACUUUUUCCUCUGCUACGGGCGCAUUAGAAGAUGCGUGGAGCACCUACCUGCAUCGUCAAUGGCCAGUUAAUUAAGAUAUCAGUUGGUUAUUUCCUGCUCAAUAAAAACGAGUCAUUUGUUGCAUUGGUGGUGUGAUGACGGACUUAUAUUUUCGCUCUACGAUCAGCGCUCGCUCGUUCAGAACAAUAACAUUGAAGAGAUGUUGUUGGUGGCUCUGAAGAUCUUUCCACGUGAUGUCAAAAUUUUAAUUGUAGAAGCAGUGGAAAAUAUAUGUUUAAAUUUGGUUGAUUGCUAUUUGAUUUAUGAAAUGCAGAUCUCCUUCUUAAGUACAAAACAAUCACCCACGAAGUCUAUUUUUAUUAUGAUGGCUAAAUGAAUUAUCUGCUACAGAAUGUUGAUGGAGCUUGACCUGCGAAUCUUUUUCUGAGUGCAGAAUACUACGGUGUAACCAAUGUCGUUUGGCUAUAAUCACGAGCAUAAUCAUGUAGGGUAGACGAACCCAUAUUUAUCUCAUUAGUCAGAAUGUCACACUAUUUCGAAUGUAACUCGGCUUACAGUGAUUGGAUUGCGUUUAAAUAGGUAUCAGCGUGCUUGCUUCGUUCUUAAGAAGCAGUAACAUAAAAAUUCUGGUUUUGAAAAUGUAAAAUACUCGCGUUUGAGCGAAGUGAAAAGUCAAGUACAACGCACCCCCAUUCAUCCUACCAUUUGACCUAAUGCGUUGAAUAGAGAGAGAGCAGACAAUGCUCCAACUAAUGUAUUCAAAUGGGUGGGAUGAAAAUAGGAGCUAACAUGAAUUAGGGCACAGUAACCCUACUUGUGCAAAUGUAAUAUGUGAAAUGAAAGACUAACCUUUUCUAAGUAGCAAACCAAUUGAGCACUAGAUGAUGAGAAAUCAGGUCUUUGCAACUAUUGUUUGAAAAUAGAAACUUGAAUUGAAGUGUGGUUUAAAAAUAAAUUU